CCGCGUGGAGGAUGAAGGUCCUCUGGAUUGUAAACUUCUUUUAUUUGGGACGAAAAAGGGAAUUCUUUCUCACUUGACGGUACCAGAUGAAUAAGCACCGGCUAACUCCGUGCCAGCAGCCGCGGUAAUACGGAGGGUGCAAGCGUUAUCCGGAUUCACUGGGUUUAAAGGGUGCGUAGGCGGGCAUGUAAGUCAGCGGUGAAAUCCCCGAGCUUAACUUGGGAACUGCCGUUGAUACUAUAUGUCUUGAAUGUCGUGGAGGUUAGCGGAAUAUGUCAUGUAGCGGUGAAAUGCUUAGAUAUGACAUAGAACACCCAUUGCGAAGGCAGCUAACUACGCGAAUAUUGACGCUGAGGCACGAAAGCGUGGGGAUCAAACAGGAUUAGAUACCCUGGUAGUCCACGCCCUAAACGAUGAUUACUCGACAUUGGCGAUACACAGUCAGUGUCUGAGCGAAAGCAUUAAGUAAUCCACCUGGGAAGUACGACCGCAAGGUUG
rnacentral:rRNA from 1 species